rnacentral:lncRNA from 1 species
UUUGGCACCCCGAGGCCCUGCGCAAAGUCUCGCUCCAUUUCGAGUCCGGCGGACGAACUUCGCCCGCGCCCCCCACCAAGGCUAUAGCCCACCCGUUUUUUGGCCAUUUUUCCGCUGGGGGGUUUUGGCACCACGACCUUCGGGCGCUUAUUUUUGGGCGCGGCUUUGCCCGCGGCUUAUUUUUGGCACCCCGAGGCCCUGCGCAAAGUCUCGCCCCAUUUCGAGUCCGGCGGACGAACUUCGCCCGCGCCCCCCACCAAGGCUAUAUCCCUCCCGUUUUUUGGCCAUUUUUCCGCUGGGGGGUUUUGGCACCACGACCUUCGGGCGCUUAUUUUUGGGCGCGGCUUUGCCCGCGGCGUAUUUUUGGCACCCCGAGGCCCUGCGCAAAGUCUCGCCCCAUUCCGAGUCCGGGGGACGAACUUCGCCCGCGCCCCCCACCAAGGCUAUAGCCCACCCGUUUUUUGGCCAUUUUUCCGCUGGGGGGUUUUGGCACCACGACCUUCGGGCGCUUAUUUUUGGGCGUGGUUUUGCCCGCAGCUUAUUUUUGGCGCCCCGAGGCCCCGCGCAAAGUCUCGCCCCAUUCCGAGUCCGGCGGACGAACUUCGCCCGCGCCCCCAACCAAGGCUAUAGCCCACCCGUUUUUUGGCCAUUUUUCCGCUGGGGGGUUUUGGCACCACGACCUUCGGGCGCUUAUUUUUGGACGUGGCUGUGCCCGCGACUUCCCGCGGGCACCCCGAGGCCCCUCGCAAAGUCUCGCCCCAUUCCGAGUCCGGCGGACGAACUUCGCCCGCGCCCCCCACCAAGGCUAUAGCCCACCCGUUUUUUGGCCAUUUUUCCGCUGGGGUGUUUUGGCACCACGACCUUCGGGCGCUUAUUUUUGGAUGCGGCUGUGCCCGCGACUUCCCGCGGCCACCUCGAGGCCCCUCGCAAAGUCUCGCCCCAUUCCGAGUCCGGCGGACGAACUUCGCCCGCGCCGCCCACCAAGGCUAUAGCCCACCCGUUUUUUGGCCAUUUUUCCGCUGGGGGGUUUUGGCACCACGACCUUCGGGCGCUUAUUUUUGGACGUGGCUGUGCCCGCGACUUCCCGCGGGCACCCCGAGGCCCCUCGCAAAGUCUCGCCCCAUUCCGAGUCCGGCGGACGAACUUCGCCCGCGCCCCCCACCAAGGCUAUAGCCCACCCGUUUUUUGGCCAUUUUUCCGCUGGGGGGUUUUGGCACCACGACCUUCGGGCGCUUAUUUUUGGGCGCGGCUUUGCCCGCGGCUUAUUUUUGGCACCCCGAGGCCCUGCGCAAAGUCUCGCCCCAUUUCGAGUCCGGCGGACGAACUUCGCCCGCGCCCCCCACCAAGGCUAUAGCCCACCCGUUUUUUGGCCAUUUUUCCGCUGGGGGGUUUUGGCACCACGACCUUCGGGCGCCUAUUUUUGGGCGCGGCUUUGCCCGCGGCGUAUUUUUGGCACCCCGAGGCCCUGCGCAAAGUCUCGCCCCAUUCCGAGUCCGGCGGACGAACUUCGCCCGCGCCCCCCACCAAGGCUAUAGCCCACCCGUUUUUUGGCCAUUUUUCCGCUGGGGGGUUUUGGCACCACGACCUUCGGGCGCUUAUUUUUGGGCGUGGUUGUGCCCGCGGCUUAUUUUUGGCGCCCCGAGGCCCCUCGCAAAGUCUCGCCCCAUUCCGAGUCCGGCGGACGAACUUCGCCCGCGCCCCCCACCAAGGCUAUAGCCCACCCCGUUUUUUGGCCAUUUUUCCGCUGGGGGGUUUUGGCACCCCCACCUUCGGGCGCUUAUUUUUGGACGCGGCUGUGCCCGCGACUUCCCGCGGGCACCCCGAGGCCCCUCGCAAAGUCUCGCCCCAUUCCGAGUCCGGCGGACAAACUUCGCCCGCGCCCCCCACCAAGGCUAUAGCCCACCCGUUUUUUGGCCAUUUUUCCGCUGGGGUGUUUUGGCACCACGACCUUCGGGCGCUUAUUUUUGGAUGCGGCUGUGCCCGCGACUUCCCGCGGGCACCUCGAGGCCCCUCGAAAAGUCUCGCCCCUUUCCGAGUACGGAGGACGAAUUUCGGCCCGGGCCACCCACCAAGGCUAUAGCCCACCCGUUUUUUACCAAUUUUUCCGCUGGGGGGUUUUGGCACCACGACCUUCGGGAGCUUAUUUUUGGGCGCGGCUUUGCCCGCGGCUUAUUUUUGGCACCCCGAGGCCCUGCGCAAAGUCUCGCCCCAUUUCGAGUCCGGCGGACGAACUUCGCCCGCGCCCCCCACCAAGGCUAUAGCCCACCCGUUUUUUGGCCAUUUUUCCGCUGGGGGGUUUUGGCACCACGACCUUCGGGCGCUUAUUUUUGGACGUGGCUGUGCCCGCGACUUCCCGCGGGCACCCCGAGGCCCCUCGCAAAGUCUCGCCCCAUUCCGAGUCCGGCGGACAAACUUCGCCCGCGCCCCCCACCAAGGCUAUAGCCCACCCGUUUUUUGGCCAUUUUUCCGCUGGGGUGUUUUGGCACCACGACCUUCGGGCGCUUAUUUUUGGAUGCGGCUGUGCCCGCGACUUCCCGCGGGCACCCCGAGGCCCCUCGCAAAGUCUCGCCCCAUUCCGAGUCCGGCGGACGAACUUCGCCCGCGCCCCCCACCAAGGCUAUAGCCCACCCGUUUUUUGGCCAUUUUUCCGCUGGGGGGUUUUGGCACCAAGACCUUCGGGCGCGGCUUUGUCCGCGGCUUAUUUUUGGCACCCCGAGGCCCCUCGCAAAGUCUCGCCCCAUUCCGAGUCCGGCGGACGAACUUCGCCCGCGCCCCCCACCAAGGCUAUUGCCCACCCGGUUUUUGGCCAUUUUUCCGCUGGGGGGUUUUGGCACCACGACCUUCAGGCGCUUAUUUUUGGACGCGGCUGUGCCCGCGACUUCCCGCGGGCACCCCGAGGCCCCUCGCAAAGUCUCGCCCCAUUCCGAGUCCGGCGGACGAACUUCGCCCGCGCUCCCCACCAAGGCUAUAGCCCACCCGUUUUUUGGCCAUUUUUCCGCUGGGGGGUUUUGGCACCACGAUCUUCGGGCGCUUAUUUUUGGGCGCGGCUUUGCCCGCGGCUUAUUUUUGGCGCCCCGAGGCCCCGCGCAAAGUCUCGCCCCAUUCCGACUCCGGCGGACGAACUUCGCCCGCGCCGCCCACCAAGGCUAUAGCCCACCCGUUUUUUGGCCAUUUUUCCGCUGGGGGGUUUUGGCACCACGACCUUUGGGCGCUUAUUUUUGGGCGUGGUUUUGCCCGCGGCUUAUUUUUGGCGCCCCGAGGCCCCGCGCAAAGUCUCGCCCCAUUCCGAGUCCGGCGGACAAACUUCGCCCGCGCCCCCCACCAAGGCUAUAGCCCACCCGUUUUUUGGCCAUUUUUCCGCUGGGGGGUUUUGGCACCACGACCUUCGGGCGCUUAUUUUUGGACGUGGCUGUGCCCGCGACUUCCCGCGGGCACCCCGAGGCCCCUCGCAAAGUCUCGCCCCAUUCCGAGUCCGGCGGACGAACUUCGCCCGCGCCCCCCACCAAGGCUAUAGCCCACCCAUUUUUUGGCCAUUUUUCCGCUGGGGGGUUUUGGCACCACGACCUUCGGGUGCUUAUUUUUGGACGCGGCUGUGCCCGCGACUUCCCGCGGGCACCUCGAGGCCCCUCGCAAAGUCUCGCCCCAUUCCGAGUCCGGCGGACGAACUUCGCCCGCGCCCCCCACCAAGGCUAUAGCCCACCCGUUUUUUGGCCAUUUUUCCGCUGGGGGGUUUUGGCACCACGACCUUCGGGCGCUUAUUUUUGGACGUGGCUGUGCCCGCGACUUCCCGCAGGCACCCCGAGGCCCCUCGCAAAGUCUCGCCCCAUUCCGAGUCCGGCGGAUGAACUUCGCCCGCGCCCCCCACCAAGGCUAUAGCCCACCCGUUUUUUGGCCAUUUUUCCGCUCAGAGGUUUUGGCACCAAGACCUUCCGGCGCUUAUUUUUGGGCGCGGCUUUGUCCGCGGCUUAUUUUUGGCACCCCGAGGCCCCUCGCAAAGUCUCGCCCCAUUCCGAGUCCGGCGGACGAACUUCGCCCGCGCCCCCCACCAAGGCUAUUGCCCACCCGGUUUUUGGCCAUUUUUCCGCUGCGGGGUUUUGGCACCACGACCUUCAGGCGCUUAUUUUUGGACGCGGCUGUGCCCGCGACUUCCCGCGGGCACCCCGAGGCCCCUCGCAAAGUCUCGCCCCAUUCCGAGUCCGGCGGACGAACUUCGCCCGCGCUCCCCACCAAGGCUAUAGCCCACCCGUUUUUUGGCCAUUUUUCCGCUGGGGGGUUUUGGCACCACGACCUUCGGGCGCUUAUUUUUGGGCGUGGCUUUGCCCGCGGCUUAUUUUUGGCGCCCCGAGGCCCCGCGCAAAGUCUCGCCCCAUUCCGAGUCCGGCGGACGAACUUCGCCCGCGCCCCCCACCAAGGCUAUAGCCCACCCGUUUUUUGGCCAUUUUUCCGCUGGGGGGUUUUGGCACCACGACCUUCGGGCGCUUAUUUUUGGGCGCGACUUUGCCCGCGGCUUAUUUUUGGCGCCCCGAGGCCCCGCGCAAAGUCUCGCCCCAUUCCGAGUCCGGCGGACGAACUUCGCCCGCGCCCCCCACCGAGGCUAUAGCCCACCCGUUUUUUGGCCAUUUUUCCGCUGGGGGGUUUUGGCACCACGACCUUUGGGCGCUUAUUUUUGGGCGCGGCUUUGCCCGCGGCUUAUUUUUGGCGCCCCGAGGCCCCGCGCAAAGUCUCGCCCCAUUCCGAGUCCGGCGGACGAACUUCGCCCGCGCCCCCCACCGAGGCUAUAGCCCACCCGUUUUUUGGCCAUUUUUCCGCUGGGGGGUUUUGGCACCACGACCUUCGGGCGUUUAUUUUUGGGCGCGGCUUUGCCCGCGGCUUAUUUUUGGCACCCCGAGGCCCCGCGCAAACUCUCGCCCCAUUCCGAGUCCGGCGGACGAACUUCGCCCGCGCCCCCCACCAAGGCUAUAGCCCACCCGUUUUUUGGCCAUUUUUCCGCUGGGGGGUUUUAGCACCACGACCUUCGGGCGCUUAUUUCUGGACGCGGCUGUGCCCGCGACUUCCCGCGGUCACCCCGAGGCCCCUCGCAAAGUCUCGCCCCAUUCCGAGUCCGGCGGACGAACUUCGCCCGCGCCCCCCACCAAGGCUAUAGCCCACCCGUUUUUUGGCCAUUUUUCCGCUGGGGGGUUUUGGCACCACGACCUUCGGGCGCUUAUUUUUGGGCGCGGCUUUGCCUGCGGCUUAUUUUUGGCACCCCGAGGCCCCUCGCAAAGGCUCGCCCCAUUCCGAGUCCGGCGGACGAACUUCGCCCGCGCCCCCCACCAAGGCUAUAGCCCACCCGUUUUUUGGCCAUUUUUCCGCUGGGGGGUUUUGGCACCACGACCUUCGGGCGCUUAUUUUUGGGCGCGGCUUUGCCCGCGGCUUAUUUUUGGUACCCCGAGGCCCCUCGCAAAGUCUCGCCCCAUUCCGAGUCCGGCGGACGAACUUCGCCCGCGCCCCCCACCAAGGCUAUAGCCCACCCGUUUUUUGGCCAUUUUUCCGCUGGGGGGUUUUGGCACCACGACCUUCGGGCGCUUAUUUUUGGGCGCGGCUUUGCCCGCGGCUUAGUUUUGGCACCCCGAGGCCCCUCGCAAAGUCUCGCCCCAUUCCGAGUCCGGCGGACGAACUUCGCCCGCGCCCCCCACCAAGGCUAUAGCCCACCCGUUUUUUGGCCAUUUUUCCGCUGGGAGGUUUUGGCACCACGACCUUCGGGCGCUUAUUUUUGGGCGCGGCUUUUCCCGCGGCUUAUUUUUGGCACCCCGAGGCCCCUCGCAAAGUCUCGCCCCAUUCCGAGUCCGGCGGACGAACUUCGCCCGCGCCCCCCACCAA